UACGAAGGGGGCUAGCGUUGCUCGGAAUCACUGGGCGUAAAGGGUGCGUAGGCGGGUCUUUAAGUCAGGGGUGAAAUCCUGGAGCUCAACUCCAGAACUGCCUUUGAUACUGAAGAUCUUGAGUUCGGGAGAGGUGAGUGGAACUGCGAGUGUAGAGGCGAAAUUCGUAGAUAUUCGCAAGAACACCAGUGGCGAAGGCGGCUCACUGGCCCGAUACUGACGCUGAGGCACGAAAGCUAGGGGAGCAAACAGG
rnacentral:rRNA from 1 species